rnacentral:lncRNA from 1 species
AAAAAAACCCAUUCAAUUCUAUCCAAUAUUCCAUUAACUAAGGACGAGAGAUUAGUGUACACAUGACAUUCGAUAAUUAGAGUUGUGACAACUUCACUGGUUCAUCUACAUAUAACGUUGUUUAUUAUUUUUUUUAACAAAAAAAAAAAAAAUAUUUGUGAAAAAAUUAUGUGUAGGCACGUGCCUAAAGUGCCUAACGGCAGCUACGCCCCUGUAU